GACAAUUUAAAUGGGAGCUUCGGCUGAGAGGUUACGAAAGUAACGACCAUCUAACCUGAUCUAGGUAAUGCUAGCGUAGGAAUUUAAAUUUCUAUACAC
rnacentral:ncRNA from 2 species